GCUGCACCUUAACGGAAACCUCAUCACUGCUUGGCACAACGGCAGAUAAAUAUGUCUGAAGAGAUUGUCUACUCUGCUAUAAAGUUAAAGGGCAAUAGUAGAGAGUCAGAGAACAUAGGAACUAAAGAGCAUGGGAAAGGAAAGGAACAUAUUGGUGAUGUUGAAUACGCUGCUGUCACUUUCAGAAGAAAUGAAAUGCAUAAUCAAAAACAACAUCCAACAGGGUGUCGCAACUAUUUCAGGCUAGCUGGUGCCACUCUCUUUAUUCUGCUUAUAUGUGCGGCCGUGGUUCUAUUCAUAAUGUGUGAGUAUCACAAGCAUUACCUUGAUACCAGAACUGUAUAUGACAAUUUAAGUAAAGGUUAUUAAGUACAAUUCUACUGUUUGCAAAAUAAUUCUGUAAUUCAUAGUGAGACACGUGCCACGCAGUGAACAGAACUGGUUUGAUGAGUAUUGUGGUUCAGUUAAUAACAGAAUAUGUGAAGACUAGUCCAAGCAAAUUUAGAAACAUGGAAAGUCCUCAUUCAGGUUGACCAAGAUGUGGAAUUCUUAGCAGGAAACGAUUUUUAAUAUUUGAAUGAUUAAUCAAUUAAAUUCAUUUUUUAUGGUGAUACAAAGCAUUGUCCAAGAUAAUGAAGUUUUUCUAACUCAUAGGCUAUUUUCACCUGGCAUUAAAAUGCAUCCCGUAUCCUGAUUGUAUCUAGAUAUGAUUUUAACCUGAUAUAUUUACACCUGGACAUGUGUCUCCAGUGUUUCCAGAAGUACGUAAUAACAUAUUUCCACCCACAAAGUUGUUGUAUGUGAAUUGACAAGAAGUAAAAAAAAAAAAGCAGUUACAUAAAAAGAGGGAAGUAUUUUGCCAGAAAGGAUGAAGUAGCAGAAGACAAUCCUUAAUUUUGGCCUUGAAAAGGUAUCAGUGUGAUACUGACAUCCAAGUGUGGAAUGAUUGAAGAGAGUGAACUUUCUGGGGUAUAAAGGAUACAUGAUUAGAGAUGUGCUUGGGAUUCACUAGGCCAUUUGUACAGUUGUGAGAAUCUCCCUUUGUAAUGAGCUCUUGACAUUGUAUCUUUCUGUAAUAAAAUCUUCUUUGAUUUCAUCUUGAUUCACUGCUACAUUUUUCCUACAAUGUGACAGGAGGUCUUUUAGAGAAGAAGGAGGAGUUUAGAGAAAGUAGGCUAAUGCAGAGCAUGUUUGGAGUGUGAAGAAAGGAAAAAUAAGGGAAAUAUAAAGUAGAUAGGGGUUCGUUUAACAAAUGGAAAAGGGAAGCAACAACACAUGUAAAUCAAGCGGAAGGUGUUAUGAUAGCAUUGAAAUGAAAGGGGAAGAAUGACCCACCACUCUAUGCCCUACUCUCUGCGCCUCCUGUGCGUCUUGAAGACCCUCCAUAUCUCCCUGUCCAACCUCCCCGACACGCACCAGAUCAGGGAGGUGCGGAUGCAGAGGCAGCAGCAACACCAGGAGCAGCAACCACAGUGGCAGCCAAGACACGAUGCCAGAGGAAGAGGACAAGGCCGAGCCUGUGGAGGCCCACAAUGGCAUGGAGGUCGACAUGGAGCCUUAAGCCAGCCAACCAACAUUUCGG